GUGGGGAAUUUUGGACAAUGGGCGCAAGCCUGAUCCAGCAAUGCCGCGUGCAGGAAGAAGGCCUUCGGGUUGUAAACUGCUUUUGUACGGAACGAAACGGUCCUGGCUAAUAUCCGGGGCUAAUGACGGUACCGUAAGAAUAAGCACCGGCUAACUACGUGCCAGCAGCCGCGGUAAUACGUAGGGUGCAAGCGUUAAUCGGAAUUACUGGGCGUAAAGCGUGCGCAGGCGGUGCUGUAAGACAGGCGUGAAAUCCCCGGGCUUAACCUGGGAAUUGCGCUUGUGACUGCAGUGCUGGAGUGCGGCAGAGGGGGAUGGAAUUCCGCGUGUAGCAGUGAAAUGCGUAGAUAUGCGGAGGAACACCGAUGGCGAAGGCAAUCCCCUGGGCCUGCACUGACGCUCAUGCACGAAAGCGUGGGGAGCAAACAGGAUUAGAUACCCGGGUAGUCC
rnacentral:rRNA from 1 species